rnacentral:rRNA from 1 species
AUUGAACGCUGGCGGCAGGCCUAACACAUGCAAGUCGAACGAGUGGCGGACGGGUGAGUAAUGUCUGGGAAACUGCCCGAUGGAGGGGGAUAACUACUGGAAACGGUAGCUAAUACCGCCUACCAUCGGAUGUGCCUAGAUGGGAUUAGCUAGUAGGUGGGGUAAAGGCUCACCUAGUCGACGAUCCCUAGCUGGUCUGAGAGGAUGACGAGCAACACGGGUACUGGGACACGGUCCAGACUCCUAAGGGAGGCACCAGUGGGGAAUAUUGGACAAUGGGCGGAAGCCUAAUGCAGCCAAGCGGCGUGUAUGAGGAAGGCCAUCGGGUUGUAAAGUACUUUAAGCGGGGAAGCGUUACCCAACGAAGAAGCACCGGCUAACUCCGUGCCAGCAGCCGCGGUAAUUC